rnacentral:rRNA from 1 species
AUUGAACGCUAGCGGCAUGCCUUACACAUGCAAGUCGAACGGCAGCACGGGGGCAACCCUGGUGGCGAGUGGCGAACGGGUGAGUAAUGCAUCGGAACGUGCCCAUCGAUGGGGGAUAACUGCGCGAAAGCGUUGCUAAUACCGCAUACGACCUACGGGUGAAAGCAGGGGACCGCAAGGCCUUGCGUCGAUGGAGCGGCCGAUGCCGGAUUAGCUAGUUGGUGAGGUAAAGGCUCACCAAGGCGACGAUCCGUAGCUGGUCUGAGAGGACGACCAGCCACACUGGGACUGAGACACGGCCCAAACUCCUACGGGAGGCAGCAGUGGGGAAUAUUGGACAAUGGGCGAAAGCCUGAUCCAGCAAUGCCGCGUGUGUGAAGAAGGUCUUCGGAUUGUAAAGCACUUUUGGCAGGGACGAUGAUGACGGUACCUGCAGAAUAAGCUCCGGCUAACUUCGUG